UACGGAGGGUGCAAGCGUUAAUCGGAUUCAUUGGGCGUAAAGAGCACGUAGGCGGAGUGGAAAGUUAGAUGUGAAAUCCCGGGGCUCAACUUCGGACCCGCAUCUAAAACCCCUAUUCUAGAGGAUGGACGGAGAAAAGGGAAUUCCACGUGUAGCGGUGAAAUGCGUAGAUAUGUGGAAGAACACCGGUGGCGAAGGCGCUUUUCUAGUUUAUUCCUGACGCUGAGGUGCGAAAGCAAGGGGAGCAAACAGG
rnacentral:rRNA from 1 species